rnacentral:rRNA from 1 species
UACGUAGGGUGCGAGCGUUGUCCGGAAUUAUUGGGCGUAAAGGGCUCGUAGGCGGUCUGUCGCGUCGGGAGUGAAAACUCAGGGCUUAACCCUGAGCCUGCCUCCGAUACGGGCAGACUAGAGGUAUGCAGGGGAGAACGGAAUUCCUGGUGUAGCGGUGGAAUGCGCAGAUAUCAGGAGGAACACCGGUGGCGAAGGCGGUUCUCUGGGCAUUACCUGACGCUGAGGAGCGAAAGUGUGGGGAGCGAACAGG